rnacentral:rRNA from 1 species
UGGAUCCAGACUUUGAUCCUGGCUCAGGAUGAACGCUAGCUACAGGCUUAACACAUGCAAGUCGAGGGGAAACGACAUUGGAAGCUUGCUUCCGAUAGGCGUCGACCGGCGCACGGGUGAGUAACGCGUAUCCAACCUGCCCACCACUUGGGGAUAACCUUGCGAAAGUAAGACUAAUACCCAAUGAUAUCUCAAGAAGACAUCUGAAUGAGAUUAAAGAUUUAUCGGUGAUGGAUGGGGAUGCGUCUGAUUAGCUUGUUGGCGGGGUAACGGCCCACCAAGGCGACGAUCAGUAGGGGUUCUGAGAGGAAGGUCCCCCACAUUGGAACUGAGACACGGUCCAAACUCCUACGGGAGGCAGCAGUGAGGAAUACUGGUCAAUGGACGAGAGUCUGAACCAGCCAAGUAGCGUGCAGGAUGACGGCCCUAUGGGUUGUAAACUGCUUUUAUAAGGGAAUAAAGUGAGCCUCGUGAGGCUUUUUGCAUGUACCUUAUGAAUAAGGACCGGCUAAUUCCGUGCCAGCAGCCGCGGUAAUACGGAAGGUCCGGGCGUUAUCCGGAUUUAUUGGGUUUAAAGGGAGCGUAGGCCGGAGAUUAAGCGUGUUGUGAAGUGUAGAUGCUCAACAUCUGCACUGCAGCGCGAACUGGUUUCCUUGAGUACGCACAAAGUGGGCGGAAUUCGUGGUGUAGCGGUGAAAUGCUUAGAUAUCACGAAGAACUCCGGUUGCGAAGGCAGCUCACUGGAGCGCAACUGACGCUGAAGCUCGAAAAGUGCGGGUAUCGAACAGGAUUAGAUACCCUGGUAGUCCGCACGGUAAACGAUGGAUGCCCGCUGUUGGUCUGAAUUAGGUU